rnacentral:rRNA from 1 species
GCCUAUACAUGCAGUCGAACGCACUCUCGUUUAGAUUGGAGGAGCUUGCUCCUGAUUGAUAAACAUUUGAGUGAGUGGCGGACGGGUGAGUAACACGUGGGUAACCUGCCCUAAAGUGGGCGAUAACAUUUGGAAACAGAUGCUAAUACCGCACAAAACCUAACACCGCAUGGUGUACGGUUGAAAGAUGGUUUCGGCUAUCACUUUAGGAUGGACCCGCGGUGCACUACUUAGUUGGUGAGGUAAAGGCUCACCAAGACCGUGAUGCAUAGCCUACCUGAGAGGGUAAUCGGCCACACUGGGACUGAGACACGGCCCAGACUCCUACGGGAGGCAGCAAUAGGGAAUCUUCCACAAUGGACGAAAGUCUGAUGGACCAACGCCUCGUGAGUGAAUAAGGUUUUCGGAUCGUAAAACUCUGUUGUUGGAAAAGAAUGUAUCUGAUACUAACUGAUCAGGUAGUGACGGUAUCCAACCAGAAAGCCACGGCUAACUACGUGCCACCAGCCGCGGUAAUACGUAUGUGGCAAGCGUUGUCCGGAUUUAUUGGGCGUAAAGCGAGCGCAAGCGGUUUCUUAAGUCUGAUGUGAAAGCCUUCGGCUCAACCGAAUAAGUGCAUCGGAAACUGGGAAACUUGAGUGCAGAAGAGGACAGUGGAACUCCAUGUGUAGCGGUGAAAUGCGUAGAUAUAUGGAAUAACACCAUUGGCGAAAGCGGCUGUCUGGUCUGUAACUGACGCUGAGGCUCGAAAACAUGGGUAGCAAACAGGAUUAGAUACCCUGGUAGUCCAUGCCGUAAACUAUGAGUGCUAGGUGUUGGAAGGUUUCCGCCCUUCAGUGCCGCAGCUAACGCAUUACGCACUCGGCCUGGGGAGUACGACCGCAAGUUGACACUCAAGGAAUUGACCGGGGCCCGCACAGCGGUGGAGCAUGUGGUUUAUUUCGAGCACGCGUAGAACCUUAUCUGGCUUGAGAUCCUUUGACACUCUAGAGAUAGAGCUUUCCCUCCGGGACAACAGACACGCGUGCAUGAUAGAUUUCGUCUCAUUGUCUCGCGAAGAUGAGGGUCAAUACGGACGAGCGCAAACUUAUUAUUCAUUGUCAGCAAUUUAUUUGUGCUCCUACAGAAAGGCGGGGGCGAACCGCAGAAAAAUGGAGAAAACCAAAUACAUCUCGCCUCUUCACUGGGUGAGCACAAGCUGUCUAUGUAGUAGGAGAGAAUAUCUUAUCACUCAGUACUAUGCCUACUCGCUCAUUAAGGGAGUCUCACUUUAGACCGGAGACUCGUG